rnacentral:rRNA from 1 species
ACGAAGGGUGCAAGCGUUACUCGGAAUUACUGGGCGUAAAGCGUGCGUAGGUGGUUCGUUAAGUCGGGGGUGAAAUCCUGGAGCUCAACUCCAGAAUUGCCUUCGAUACUGGCUUUCUAGAGGCUGGAAGAGGUUAGUGGAAUUCCCAGUGUAGAGGUGAAAUUCGUAGAUAUUGGGAAGAACACCAGUGGCGAAGGCGGCCAACUGGUCCAGAUCCGACGCUGAGGUGCGAAAGCGUGGGGAGCAAACAGGA